rnacentral:rRNA from 1 species
GACAGAGGGUGCGAGCGUUGUUCGGAAUUACUGGGCGUAAAGCGCAUGUAGGCGGCCGCGCAGGUCGGGUGUGAAAGCCCUCGGCUCAACCGAGGAAGUGCACUCGAAACCGCGUGGCUCGAGUCCCGGAGAGGAAGGUGGAAUUCUUGGUGUAGAGGUGAAAUUCGUAGAUAUCAGGAGGAACACCCGUAGCGAAGGCGGUUCUCUGGGCCGGUACUGACGCUGAGGAGCGAAAGCGUGGGGAGCAAACAGG